rnacentral:rRNA from 1 species
GACGAACGCUGGCGGCGUGCUUAACACAUGCAAGUCGAACGGAAAGGCCCUGCUUUUGUGGGGUGCUCGAGUGGCGAACGGGUGAGUAACACGUGAGUAACCUGCCCUUGACUUUGGGAUAACUUCAGGAAACUGGGGCUAAUACCGGAUAGGAGCUCCUGCUGCGUGGUGGGGGUUGGAAAGUUUCGGCGGUUGGGGAUGGACUCGCGGCUUAUCAGCUUGUUGGUGGGGUAGUGGCUUACCAAGGCUUUGACGGGUAGCCGGCCUGAGAGGGUGACCGGCCACAUUGGGACUGAGAUACGGCCCAGACUCCUACGGGAGGCAGCAGUGGGGAAUAUUGCACAGUGGGCGGAAGCCUGAUGCAGCAACGCCGCGUGCGGGAUGACGGCCUUCGGGUUGUAAACCGCUUUCGCCUGUGACGAAGCGUGAGUGACGGUAAUGGGUAAAGAAGCACCGGCUAACUACGUG